rnacentral:lncRNA from 1 species
CUGUAUAAAUCACACUGAAACCCACCUAAUUGCUCAACCUAGAAACCUGGUAGCAAUUGUUGACACCUUUCUCAUCCUUAACUCCACAUCCAAACCAUCAUAAAGAUCCAGGAAUCAGACCUCCAAAACAUAUUGAACUUACCAUUCUUAUUCUUACAUCUUCAUUGCCAUACUCUUGGAAAUAAGCCAACAAUUUCUUGGGUCCUGAAGUAUUGUGAUAGUCCCUAAUUUUUCUUUCCCAUUCUACUCUUAUUCCCCUAUAUUCAGUUUCCAUGCAGCAUCCAGACAAUCUUUCUAAAAUAUAACCUGGGUCAUUCCUUGCCCAAAAAUCAUUAAUGGCAUUUCUUAGUUCUUAGAAUAAAUUCCCAGUUCAUACCCAAUCUUACAUGAGUUACCCCAUCUAUCUCUCCAGCCAUAUCUGGAGCUACCCUUCUACUCAUUGCACUCCUGGCUAAUCCAAGUCAUCACCUAGAUCUCACUUAAAUGUCAUUGCCAUCAGAGAAGUUUUCCUGACUGCCAUCUUCUCCAAAUAUUCCUAAUUACUAUUAUAUCACUAAUAACACUACUUAGUUUGUCUCUUAAAAUCUCUUGUACACUUUUUUGCUUCAUCAGCAUUUAUAUGUUUAUUAUUUCUUUUCUGGUAAUUUGUUUGAUAUAUGUUUAUCCUACUAAACUACACACCCAUGAAAGCAGGAGUCAUACAUGUUUUACUCAACAUUCUCCUUCCAGUACUUGGCAAGCUUGUACUAGGUGCUCAGUAAAUGCUUUUUGAAUGAACGAAUGAAUCAAUCAAUGAGUGAAUGAGUAUGAAAUACUGAAGACACAUCAGUAAACAAUAUAGAAAAUAAUUUCUGCUUUUGUGGUGGUAACAUUCAGUAAGAAAGCUGUUAUUUACCUAUUAACUUGAUGAUUUGUGAAUAAGAAAACUGAUGACACGCACUUGUUAUAUUUACACUUAUUACUGAUUAUGUCAGGAUCUGUGCUAUUCUGACUAUUUUAAAGCUUAUAAAUUCAUACAAAUUUUAAACUAAGUUUGUGUAAAAGGUGAGAUUUGCAAUUUUAUCUCCGACUACUCCAUUUGGAUGAUCGGUCAUCAAGAGACAUUCUUCACAUGAGCAGGAACAAGCUCCAGCUGAGGGCCCUGUGUUCCGUGCUCUUCGCUCAUCUACCCACUAAUAAGCCAAGAUGAAGAGAAGAGGUAAUAGAAUCACAUUAACCUGUAAAGCCCUUUGUUGGCAGAGGCAAAAGUGGACAGUGGAACACAUGAAGACAGGUGCAUAAAAGUCCUCUCAUGAACAUUGGGCUUGUGAAGAAAAGCAUGAUUCUUUAGCAAAGGAGAAAAUAAGAAAAUUUUGAAAUAUUGAAAUAUGAGAUAUGUCCAUUUCAGAUGCAUGAUGAGCUAAUGAAAUUAAAUUAAUGGAACACUCUAAGAACUUAACCAUUUCUUCAUAUUUUACUAAAACACUUAUCAGAUACAUUCUGCAAAGGUUCUAGAAAAAGAAAACUUAUUUUGUCCAAACUCCACAAUAUAUUCAGAGUGAGUCCAGUUCUGUAGCAAUAUUAAGCAUAUUAUACUUGUGGUUAACCGGCACCUAGUGGAAGAAAUAAGCCAAAACAUGACAUUUUAAAUCAGAAACCAGUAAAUAUGGCUUAUUUUAACGUGAGAUCCUCCUCACACUCUAAAAGGAAAACAUUUUCCAGCUUUUCAUUGCCUUGAACGCACAAGAUCUUGCAUAAAAAUGUCAGCUACAGGCUUCGAAGCAAAUGUUUCUUUUUACAAUAUGGCACACAUCAUAAUUUCCUUGCCUGGUUCUCCCUGAAAAAGAGGGGGAGUAUAACCCUCUAACUAGCAGCCAAACACUCUUCUCUUAAAAAUGCUAUCCAAAGAAAUGAAACACAGCCGUGACAAAACAAGGUGUCCAGGGCAAAGUUCUUGCCCUAAAUUUAUCAUUUGUUUAUGCUUCUCUAGUCUUUUAAAUAAUCUCUAGUUAUAUCCUUUUUGCAAAGAAUUAGGAGUCUGUUAGUAAAAUCAUUAGAAAAGUAUUUUGUUCAAAUAAACUAAUUCAAUUUGGUCCAUAACAAGCACUGGUUAAAUUUUACGGUUGUUCACAUUAUUUCAUGAUUAGUAUAUGUAAGUCAAGUUCUAACACUUGCCUUGUUUUGUUUUAAUGAAGAACUCCUCCUUAAACAGAGAAAAAUUCUUAAAAGAGAAUUCCUCUAAAGCUCUGUACAUGUCUGAGUCUUUCUUAUUCCUCCUGAAAUGAUCUGUCCUUAUACUGAGAUAUUAUUUGCCAAUUUUCAGACCACUGUUAUUUCUUCUAAAAAUGUCACAAGGCUUUAAAAAUGUCACAAGGCUUUGAAGAGAAAUUUGAUGGUAGAGAUGUUGAGAUCCUUAACCAAGUAGCACAAAUAUCACUGCAAUAAACAAUAUUUUAAGGAACUCUGUUUUAGUUAACUCCAAGAGCCAUGGGGAAGCUGUUUCAUCUCCCAUUCCUUUGUCCCCACAUUGACUGAAAAAGGAAAUGUAUCUUACCAUAAUAUUAUUAUGCCUCUCAUUCAUGAUAGUGCCAACUUUCAGAUAAGUGUGGAUAAUUGUUUUUUUUCCCAGGGAGUUCUCUUUAACCUAGCAGAUCCUACACAGGGGUAUUCUUUCGGAAGCAGCCCUUUACACUCAGUUGUGACACUAGGAAAUUAGAAAAUACUGCAUAAAGCAUUCCUAGCAUUCAGCUAGCCAAAAGUAAAAUAUUCCCAAGAGGAUUAAAAAAUGCAACUGAUGCCUACAGGUUGCUAAAACACGUAUAAACCAAAAAAAACCCCUCAUAAUUUAUUAAUAAUAAUAUUAGUAUUUUUUUCUCUCUCUAAGGAAUUCUUUAUAAAACCUACCUCCAUGAUUUUUCGUGUGUCUUCUAGAUCUGUCCUCCACUAACCAGAAGCCUGGAAACAAACUUGUUAUAUGAAGGCAAGAAUAGUAUCCUUACAUUUUCAAUUAAAAAAAAAAAAAAGAUUUCCUGAUGCUUUUCUCAUCCAGAAGAAUGGGGACAUAUUUAUCAAAGUACACCUCAGAGAUACGCUUAACCUCCCAAGCAGAGUUAAUCGUUUAAAGAAAUAACAAAAUGUAAGAUUCGCUUUGAAUUGAACUGUGCUAAGACACAGUUGACAUUAAAUGUUGCUGUUUUAAAGGGCAAUUUCCAGAUGUAAAUUUGUCCUUUGCCCAAGAACAAAUGUGCUACAUUUUUCUUCCAUCUCUUCAAUACUCUAUUCUUCCAAACAAAGAAUGAUCAGAAGGCAGCAUGUGCAGACAUCACCAUGUCAACUUAAUUUUUCACAUCUUAACUAUUUUCUUUUUUUUUUAAGAUUUUAUUU